rnacentral:rRNA from 1 species
UGAGUAACCUGCCCUUAACUCUGGGAUAAGCCUGGGAAACUGGGUCUAAUACCGGAUAUGACUCCUCAUCGCAUGGUGGGGGGUGGAAAGCUUUUUUUGUGGUUUUGGAUGGACUCGCGGCCUAUCAGCUUGUUGGUGAGGUAAUGGCUCACCAAGGCGACGACGGGUAGCCGGCCUGAGAGGGUGACCGGCCACACUGGGACUGAGACACGGCCCAGACUCCGUACGGGAGGCAG